rnacentral:rRNA from 1 species
UACGAAGGGGGCUAGCGUUGCUCGGAAUCACUGGGCGUAAAGCGCACGUAGGCGGAUUGUUAAGUCAGGGGUGAAAUCCUGGAGCUCAACUCCAGAACUGCCUUUGAUACUGAAGAUCUUGAGUUCGGGAGAGGUGAGUGGAACUGCGAGUGUAGAGGUGAAAUUCGUAGAUAUUCGCAAGAACACCAGUGGCGAAGGCGGCUCACUGGCCCGAUACUGACGCUGAGGUGCGAAAGCGUGGGGAGCAAACAGG